rnacentral:rRNA from 1 species
UACGAAGGGGGCUAGCGUUGCUCGGAAUUACUGGGCGUAAAGGGCGCGUAGGCGGAUGUCUAAGUUGGGGGUGAGAUCCCGGGGCUCAACCUCGGAACCGCCUUCAAUACUGGAUAUCUUGAGUUCGGGAGAGGUGAGUGGAAUGCCGAGUGUAGAGGUGAAAUUCGUAGAUAUUCGGCGGAACACCAGUGGCGAAGGCGACUCACUGGCCCGAUACUGACGCUGAGGCGCGAAAGCGUGGGGAGCAAACAGG